rnacentral:rRNA from 1 species
GAUGAACGCUGGCGGCGUGCCUAAUACAUGCAAGUCGAGCGAACAGACGAGGAGCUUGCUCCUCUGACGUUAGCGGCGGACGGGUGAGUAACACGUGGAUAACCUACCUAUAAGACUGGGAUAACUUCGGGAAACCGGAGCUAAUACCGGAUAAUAUAUUGAACCGCAUGGUUCAAUAGUGAAAGACGGUUUUGCUGUCACUUAUAGAUGGAUCCGCGCCGCUUUAGCUGGUUGGUAAGGUAACGGCUUACCAAGGCAACGAUGCGUAGCCGACCUGAGAGGGUGUUCGGCCACCCUGGAACUGGGACACGCUCCAGACUCCUACGGGAGGCAGCAGUAGGGAAUCUUCCGCAAUGGGCGAAAGCCUGACGGAGCAACGCCGCGUGAGUGAUGAAGGUCUUCGGAUCGUAAAACUCUGUUAUUAGGGAAGAACAAAUGUGUAAGUAACUAUGCACGUCGUGACGGUACCUAAUCAGAAAGCCACGGCUAACUACGUG